rnacentral:lncRNA from 1 species
CCUGAACUUCCUCAAGUCGACCUCACCAGGCCAAGCUCAUGCCUCACAAGGGCCUUUCCAGGCCCAACUUUUGUCUCAUGGCAACCUUCCCUGGCCAGAUUCCUGCCUGUCUCCCAGCAGCCUAGACAGGCCCAGGUCUUGCCUCACACUGGCCUGUCUACAUCCAGCUCUUGCCUCACGGUGGCCUCUCCAGGCCCAGCUCCUGUCCCAGGACGUCAUCUCCAGGCCCAAAACUUCCUCAAGUCAGCCUCUCUAGUCCCAACUGCUGCCUCCUGGUGGCCUAUGAAGGCCCAAAAUCUCCUCAAGUUGACCUCUCCAGGCCCAGCUCCUGCCUCCUGUCAGCAUCUACAGGCCCAACCUCUGCCUCAUGGGGGCUUCUCCAGGCCCAGCUCUUCCUCUGGGCUGAGUCUACAGGCACAACUGCUGCUUCACAACAGCCUUUUUUGGCCCAGUUCCUGUCCAGCUCACAGCGGCCAAUGUAGGCCCAAAACUUCCUCAAGUCAAACUCCCCAGGCCCGCCUUCUGCUUCCCGGUGGCAUGAACAGGCCCAGCUUUGACUUGAGAACAGCCUCUGCAGGCCGUGCUCUUGCCUCCCAGGGGCUUCUCCAGGCCCAGCUCUUGCCUCAUGGCGGCUGCCCCAGGCCAAGUUUCUGCCUGCCUGCCAGCAGCCUCAACAGGCACAGCUCCUCCCUCA